GACCUUGUGGCGCAAUGGAAGCUCGUCGGUUUCCGGAGCCGAAGUUUGCGGGUUCAAGUCCCGCCAGGGUUG
rnacentral:tRNA from 1 species